rnacentral:rRNA from 1 species
GACGAACGCUGGCGGCGUGCUUAACACAUGCAAGUCGAGCGGUAAGGCCUUUCGGGGUACCCGAGCGGCGAACGGGUGAGUAACACGUGGGUGAUCUGCCCUGCACUUCGGGAUAAGCCUGGGAAACUGGGUCUAAUACCGGAUAUGACCUCCUAUCGCAUGGUGGGUGGUGGAAAGAUUUAUCGGUGCAGGAUGGGCCCGCGGCCUAUCAGCUUGUUGGUGGGGUAAUGGCUUACCAAGGCGACGACGGGUAGCCGACCUGAGAGGGUGACCGGCCACACUGGGACUGAGACACGGCCCAGACUCCUACGGGAGGCAGCAGUGGGGAAUAUUGCACAAUGGGCGAAAGCCUGAUGCAGCGACGCCGCGUGAGGGAUGACGGCCUUCGGGUUGUAAACCUCUUUCAGCAGGGACGAAGCGCAAGUGACGGUACCUGCAGAAGAAGCACCGGCUAACUACGUG